rnacentral:lncRNA from 1 species
CCCGCGCAUGCCCCCUCUUGUAUAUAUACACAUGAUGUGGCAACGGCAAUAAAAUAUUGUUGGAAGUCAGCGCAGUGUUUGUCAUCUCUGUCAGUCCUCGUCCUUCGCGCUGUACGUUGUUUUUACCAUGAAUUACCAACUAGCCCAAGCAACCACCCUUGUUCACUUGAAUCUA